rnacentral:rRNA from 1 species
UACGGGGGGGCAAGCGUUGUUCGGAAUUACUGGGCGUAAAGGCUCGUAGGCGGCCAACUAAGUCGGAUGUGAAAUCCCCAGGCUCAACUUGGGAACUGCAUCCGAUACUGGAUGGCUUGAAUUCGGGAGAGGGAUGCAGAAUUCCAGGUGUAGCGGUGAAAUGCGUAGAUAUCUGGAGGAAUACCGGUGGCGAAGGCGGCAUCCUGGACCGACAUUGACGCUGAGGAGCGAAAGCUAGGGGAGCAAACGGG